GUUGUCUUUUGAUGCUGGUGCAAUAGCAUUAGUAGCACGUGUGCUCAUGGCUUUACUUUAUGGCUUGAAAAAUGGCAUCUGCUUUUUGAGAUUGCUCAUUCCUUCAACACCUGUGCACUAUAAGCAAAGUUUUAUUCCUGCAAAGUCAGCUAUUAUUGUGAUUUGGCAUAUGGACCAUUGUGCAUGGUUAGUUGGCCCUAUCAAUAUAUUGACCAGCUUGAGGAUGAUUAUCCAAAAGCAAAAAUGGAUGCAGUGUGAUAUGGGCUUUCACCAUGUGCAUAUAUGUAUGCAUACAUUCACAGAAGGAUGAAUAAAGGGAAUAGUGACUUUGUCUUAAUAUAAACUCUUGUAAUUUGUCUUGUGCAAUGAGAAGUGGCUCAAUUGUGAGCAAAAAAACCUAUACGACUUUCAACAAUGGAUCUCUUGGCUCUUGCAUCGAUGAAGAACGCAGCGAAAUGCGAUAAGUAAUGUGAAUUGCAGAAUUCAGUGAAUCAUCAAAUCUUUGAACACACCUUGUGCUCCUUGGGUUACCUAUGGAGCAUGCCUGUUUGAGUGUCAUGUUUAAUCUCAAUUCCCUUAGGGGUUUUGGAUUUGGGGGGUUUUGUGCAGGUUCUCCUUUAUAGGGAAUCAGCUCCUCUUAAAAAUUAUUAUCUGGAGGGAUGAAAGCAAAAUUGGCCUUAGCAUUGUUCCAUUAAGCUUAUGAUGUAAUAAUUGUUUUCAUCUUGUUUCAUAUGGGUGAUCCAAUGCCCCAAUAGAGGAAUAAAUAACUCAAGGAGCCUUUUUGGUGGCAUUCUCUGCUUCUAAUUGUUAAAUCUAUCUAAAUUUCAAGUAUUUUCUUUGGCCUCAAUCACGGGAGGACUUCCCCGCUUCAAUUCAACAUAUUAAAAAAACGAAAAGAUCCCCUCCGGGCUUUAAUUGUAUGUUCCUUUG
rnacentral:rRNA from 1 species